rnacentral:rRNA from 1 species
CAGCAGCCGCGGGAAUACGUAGGGUGCAAGCGUUAAUCGGAAUUACUGGGCGUAAAGCGUGCGCAGGCGGUUAUAUAAGUCAGAUGUGAAAUCCCCGGGCUCAACCUGGGAACUGCAUUUGAGACUGUAUGGCUAGAGUGUGUCAGAGGGGGUAGAAUUCCACGUGUAGCAGUGAAAUGCGUAGAUAUGUGGAGGAAUACCGAUGGCGAAGGCAGCCCCCUGGGAUAACACUGACGCUCAUGCACGAAAGCGUGGGGAGCAAACAGGAUUAGAUACCCCGGUAGUCCCUGUCUCUUAUACA